UGUACAUCAGGCUCUGCUGCAGUAGAGAUCUUAGAGAGCAAGAUUCAAAUAGCCCAGUUUUCUCUGCACUUCCAGAGACAAUCCCACUAAAAACAAAACAAGAGGCCUGAGGCGACAUGGUUCAUGAGGGCUGGGUUGAGGAGGAAAGAGAUGGGAGGCUGGUGUUUCUGGGAGAUCACCAGUCUGAUUGGCAUACAAAUGCACAAUAAAACACAAGUGAAUGUUUACUUUGUCAGGAGAUGCCAGAGGAUAUAAUGCUAUAAGAGAUGUGAUACUCCAGGAUUUUGUGUAAUGUGUUUGCAAUGCUCAUGACAAUAGUGCAAAGCAGAGCAGGCUCCAUGCUUCUGUCAGAGAUGGCGCACAACAAGGAGGGAUGCACAGGUGCUUCAGAUUUGAUUCUUUGAGGACCUGCUCCAUGAUUUUUCCAUAACUAAUUUUGUACCAUAACAAAUUUGUAAAAGUGAGGUUUUCCUUGGUACCAGACUAUAAAAGGGGCAAUAUGUCUGUCAGCAUACUGCUCCUGUAGAGAGCAAACUACUGAAUAUAUCUGACAAAGAAGAACUGUCUAAUUAGUCUACAUUUUUCAAAAAAUAAUUGCCUGUCAACUAGUUAAAUCAUCUUUCUGGAAACAUUUCCCAGGGGAGAAACUGAAAUUACAGCUGGCAUCAUCCCCUACUCCAUACAGAAUGGGAAAUGAGCUGGAUGUUUGGUUUUCAGAACCUACAAAACAGUCUGGUGCAGAGGCCCUAAGAAAAACUUGCAAGAGGAGUGAGAACCAGAGAGACAAAAGAUUCCCACCUUGUGCCAAAGCUAUAAAAGGGGGUAGAAGAGAACAAAGGGGGCUACAGUCAUGAGAAAUCCUCUAGUUACCACCUGAGCUGGAACCAACAAGAACUGUACCAGGGGAAGGAUUGGGCCCAGACCAAGAAGUCAUCUAGUCUGUGAAAAUGAGGAGUCCUUAUGGCAACUUAGAGACUAACAGAUUUAUUUGGACAUAAGUUUUCGUGGGCUAUAAACCACUUCAUCAGAUGCCCAAAUAAAUGUGUUAGUCUCUAAGGUGUCACAAGGACUCCUCGCUGUUUUUACUGAUACAGACUAACACGGCUACCCCUCUGAAACUAGUUUGUAAAAGAAGCUUAUUGGAACAUCACUGAGGGUGAGAUUUACCUGUAUUCAAUUUCUUAAAUGUAUUAGACUUAGACUUGCUUGUUUUGUUUUAUUUUGGUUGGUAACUUACUUUAUCAGUCUGUUAUAACUUGAAACCACGUAAAUCCUACUUUUUUAUACUUAAUAAAAUCACUUUUGUUUAUUAAUUAA